rnacentral:rRNA from 1 species
GACGAACGCUGGCGGCGUGCCUAAUACAUGCAAGUCAACUGAAGUACCGGUAGCAAUACUGGUGCGGAGGUGGCGCACGGGUGAGUAACACGUAGGUAAUCUGCCUUCAGGUCUGACACAACUCCGAGAAAUCGGAGCUAAUAUCAGGAUUAUGCAGCGGCUUGGCAUCAAGACAGUUGUUAAAGCUUCGGCGCCUGAAGAUGAGCCUGCGCCCCAUUAGGUAGUUGGCGGAGUAACAGCCACCAAGCCUGCGAUGGGUAACUGGUCUGAGAGGAUGAUCAGUCACACUGGAACUGAGACACGGUCCAGACUCCUACGGGAGGCUG